AACGUAGGACACAAGCGUUAUCCGGAAUUACUGGGCGUAAAGCGCCAGCAGGCGGAGGAUUAAGUCACUUGUGAAAGCGCUCGGCUAAACUGAGCGAGGUCAGGUGAUACUGGUUCACUAGAGGGUGAUAGAGGCGAGUGGAAUUCCGCGUGUAGUGGUGAAAUGCGUAGAGAUGCGGAGGAACACCAGUGGCGAAGGCGGCUCGCUGGGUCACACCUGACGCUGAGAGGCGAAAGCAUGGGGAGCUAAUGUG
rnacentral:rRNA from 1 species